rnacentral:rRNA from 1 species
UGGGGAAUAUUGCACAAUGGGGGGAACCCUGAUGCAGCGACGCCGCGUGAGUGAAGAAGUAUUUCGGUAUGUAAAGCUCUAUCAGCAGGGAAGAAGAAAAUGACGGUACCUGACUAAGAAGCACCGGCUAAAUACGUGCCAGU